GCGGCGAUAGUUCAAGAGGAAGAAUACGUGGCAUCCCAGUCGCGAGAUGGCGGUUCGAGACCGACCUCGCCGCUCCA
rnacentral:tRNA from 1 species